rnacentral:rRNA from 1 species
CGCGUAGGCGGUUUGUUAAGUCGGAUGUGAAAGCCCUGGGCUCAACCUGGGAACUGCAUUCGAUACUGGCCAACUAGAGUGCAAGAGAGGGAGGUAGAAUUCCAUGUGUAGCGGUGAAAUGCGUAGAUAUGUGGAGGAAUACCGGUGGCGAAGGCGGCCUCCUGGCUUGACACUGACGCUGAGGUGCGAAAGCGUGGGGAGCAAACCGGAUUAGAUACCCUGGUAGUCC